rnacentral:rRNA from 1 species
GACGAACGUUGGCGGCGUGCUUAAUACAUGCAAGUCAACUGAAGCAGUGGUAGCAAUAUCGCUGUGGAGGUGGCGCACGGGUGAGUAACACGUAGGUAAUCUGCCUUCAGGUCUGGCAUAACUCCGGGAAACCGGGGCUAAUAGCAGAUGAUGCAGCGGCUCGACAUCGAGACAGUUGUUAAAGCUAUGGCGCCUGAAGAUGAGCCUGCGUCUGAUUAGCUAGUUGGCGGGGUAACGGCCCACCAAGGCAACGAUCAGUAGCUGGUCUGAGAGGAUGAUCAGCCACACUGGAACUGAGACACGGUCCAGACUCCUACGGGAGGCAGCAGUAAGGAAUAUUGCUCAAUGGGAGAAAUCCUGAAGCAGCAACGCCGCGUGAGGGAUGAAGGGCUUUUGCUUGUAAACCUCUGUAGUGAGAGAAAAAAAUCCCAAUCUUUGGGACAUGAUGGUAUCUCAAAAGUAAGCCCCGGCUAACUACGUG